GAGUUUGAACCUGGCUCAGGACGAACGCUGGCGGCGUGCCUAACACAUGCAAGUUGAGCGGAGAUAUAUGGAGCUUGCUUUAUAUAACUUAGCAGCGAACGGGUGAGUAACACGUAGAUAAUCUAUCCUAUACUGGGGGAUAGCCCGAUGAAAGUUGGAUUAAUACCGCAUAUAGCUAUAUAGUUGCAUGAUUAUGUAGUGAAAGAUUUAUUGGUAUAGGAGGAGUCUGCGGCACAUUAGCUAGUAGGUGAGGUAAAGGCUUACCUAGGCGACGAUGUGUAGCCGGUCUGAGAGGAUGAACGGCCACAAUGGAACUGAGACACGGUCCAUACUCCUACGGGAGGCAGCAGUGGGGAAUAUUGCACAAUGGGGGAAACCCUGAUGCAGCAACGCCGCGUGAGUGAAGAAGGUUUUCGGAUUGUAAAGCUCUGUUAGCAGGGAAGAGGAAGGACGGUACCUGCAGAGGAAGCCACGGCUAACUACGUGCCAGCAGCCGCGGUAAUACGUAGGUGGCAAGCGUUGUUCGGAAUAACUGGGCGUAAAGGAUGCGUAGGCGGUUAAACAAGUUAUAUGUUAAAUAUAUAGGCUUAACCUGUAGAAAGCAUAUAAAACUGUUUAACUAGAGUGCAGGAGAGGUAAGUGGAAUUCCUAGUGUAGCGGUGAAAUGCGUAGAGAUUAGGAAGAACACCAGUGGCGAAGGCGACUUACUGGACUGUAACUGACGCUGAGGCAUGA
rnacentral:rRNA from 1 species